UUCACGGAUCAAUGCUCUGUUCUGGUUUGGGAAAGGAAUCGGAUCACGUUCUUGCUGUUCCCUUGAUCAAAUCUGAUCCUCUUCUCUUUGUGGCUGAUUUAGGUCACGGAUUGGGUGACACCUCCUGGAUACAAUCGGUUGAGUGAGGACCUGUUCUGUGGAUUGCUCUAUGAUCCAACAAUAUAUUGUUUCAACAACAACUCGAUUAGAGCAGUGAGGUCCUGUUGUUGUGGUGUUGGGAAGGUGAUCGUGAAGUGAUUUUAGCAGCAACCUUGAUCCAGCAAGCAAUAGGGGCUGUGAAUCGAGGACGCUGAUUCGAGACGGGCGUCUCGACUUCAGAUUUGGAUUGUACCUUCUAUUUGAGG